AGCAGUAGCCGCGGGAAUACGAAGGGUGCAAGCGUUACUCGGAAUUACUGGGCGUAAAGCGUGCGUAGGUGGUGGUUUAAGUCCGUUGUGAAAGCCCUGGGCUCAACCUGGGAAUUGCAGUGGAUACUGGGUCACUAGAGUGUGGUAGAGGAUAGUGGAAUUUCCGGUGUAGCAGUGAAAUGCGUAGAGAUCGGAAGGAACAUCUGUGGCGAAGGCGACUAUCUGGGCCAACACUGACACUGAGGCACGAAAGCGUGGGGAGCAAACAGGAUUAGAUACCCCGGGUAGUCCCUGUCUCUUAUA
rnacentral:rRNA from 1 species